CGAGUGGUGACUAAGGUUUAAGCACGGGUGCAUUGGAAGCAUCAGUUAGUAGGUUCGAUUCCUGCACACUCGA
rnacentral:tRNA from 1 species